rnacentral:rRNA from 1 species
AACGGCGAGUGAAGCGGCAACAGCUCAAAUUUGAAAUCUGGCCCCUCUCGGGGUCCGAGUUGUAAUUUGUAGAGGAUGCUUUUGGCGAGGCGCCGCCCGAGUUCCCUGGAACGGGACGCCACAGAGGGUGAGAGCCCCGUCUGGCUGGCCGCCGAGCCUCUGUAAAGCUCCUUCGACGAGUCGAGUAGUUUGGGAAUGCUGCUCAAAAUGGGAGGUAUAUGUCUUCUAAAGCUAAAUACUGGCCAGAGACCGAUAGCGCACAAGUAGAGUGAUCGAAAGAUGAAAAGCACCUUGAAAAGAGGGUUAAAUAGUACGUGAAAUUGUUGAAAGGGAAGCGCUUGUGACCAGACUUGGGCGCGGCGGAUCAUCCGGGGUUCUCCCCGGUGCACUUCGCCGCGUCCAGGCCAGCAUCAGUUCGUCGCGGGGGAUAAAGGCUUCGGGAACGUGGCUCCCCCGGGAGUGUUAUAGCCCGUUGCACAAUACCCUGCGGUGGACUGAGGACCGCGCAUCUGCAAGGAUGCUGGCGUAAUGGUCACCAGCGACCCGUCUUGAAACACGGACCAAGGAGUCGUCUUCGUAUGCGAGUGUUCGGGUGUCAAACCCCUACGCGUAAUGAAAGUGAACGCAGGUGAGAGCUUCGGCGCAUCAUCGACCGAUCCUGAUGUUCUCGGAUGGAUUUGAGUAAGAGCAUACGGGGCCGGACCCGAAAGAAGGUGAACUAUGCCUGUAUAGGGUGAAGCCAGAGGAAACUCUGGUGGAGGCUCGCAGCGGUUCUGACGUGCAAAUCGAUCGUC